rnacentral:rRNA from 1 species
AACGUAGGUGGCGAGCGUUAUCCGGAAUGAUUGGGCGUAAAGCGUCCGCAGGUGGCAGUUCAAGUCUGCUGUCAAAGACCGGGGCUUAACUUCGGAAAGGCAGUGGAAACUGAACAGCUAGAGUAUGGUAGGGGCAGAGGGAAUUCCUGGUGUAGCGGUGAAAUGCGUAGAGAUCAGGAAGAACAUCGGUGGCGAAGGCGCUCUGCUGGACCAUAACUGACACUCAGGGACGAAAGCUAGGGGAGCGAAUGGG